AUUGAACGCUGGCGGCAGGCCUAACACAUGCAAGUCGAACGAGUGGCGGACGGGUGAGUAAUGUCUGGGAAACUGCCUGAUGGAGGGGGAUAACUACUGGAAACGGUAGCUAAUACCGCAUACCAUCGGAUGUGCCCAGAUUGGAUUCGCUCGUAGGUGGGGUAAAGGCUCACAUAGGCGACGAUCCCUAGCUGGUCUGAGAGGAUGACCAGCCACACUGGAACUGAGACACUGUCCAGCCGCCUACGGGAGGCAGCAGUGGGGAAUAUUGCACAAUUGUCGCAAGCCUGAUGCAGCCAUGCCGCGUGUAUGAAGAAGGCCUUCGGGUUGUAAAGUACUUUCAGCUUGUAGGCGUUACCCGCAGAAGAAGCACCGGCUAACUCCGUGCCAGCCGCCGCGGUAAUUC
rnacentral:rRNA from 1 species